rnacentral:lncRNA from 1 species
AAUUCUCUCAUGAUUUUCUCCUGAUUUGCACUGCUCUCUUGGUAAAAGAGAGAGUAAUUUCCUAGAUUCCUGGAUUGUGAUGAUUAACAUACAAUUCUUUAGCUAUUUUUUCCUAGUGUCUCGAUUGUUUUGACUAUAAAUGCAUACUUUAAGGAUUUCUACAGGGCAAAAUAGAAGUAUAACCUUUCUUGUAACUUAUGUAAGAUAGCAUUAGCUAAUUUUGGUUGUUAAUUGGUAUGAGAUCAUAAGUAGCCAAACUAAUUUAUUUAAAUAAGGUUUUUAGUUCUAUUGCCUUACCAAUUUUCCAGAUGGAUCUAAUUAUCUAAAAUGUAUAUUAUCUAAUUUAAUUGCAGUGUUGCCAGACAACCACCUCUUCCAGAUCUAGUUGCCACAUCUUGUGACGUUGUUCAUAGAUACACAUAAACCCAAUAAAGGUGUACAGAAGGUCUGCCUUUACUGUAGGCAACUCUUGGCCUUAUUAUCUCCCAUAAUUGACACUACCACAAAAGUGGUGUUUAUUCUACUGGUAUAGGUCACUACCAUAACCAUAUGUUAUAGCUCUGAAUGGUGGUUUCUAACGGACAAUAACUAUUGUUUUAUCAUGCUGCAUUUUGUGGAUUUUGUUUCCAAACUGUGUGUGCAAGUAACACCAUUUACAGCCAUUGUUACCCUGUUUAAAGAAGAGUUCUACCAAAGCAGUAAACAGCAUGCAAGGAUACUGUGAUCUCCACAGCAAAACGACGUACCAGAAGGCUGGCUUCCAAGGAGCAAGAAAGGAUCUGCUGGAGUUCAUUUGCUUCUUUUCUGCCAGAACAGAUGGCACAGAGGCAAAAGGUGCCGGAAUAAGUGAGGUCAAGUCAGCAGAGCAGUCAGGAUGGCACCACAAACCGAGGGAGCCUGUUCGAUGUCUUGACCUCCCGUACUACAGCUGCUGGAAGCGCCAGAAAUUUGCACGUGUCCUGUGGGUGUGCUUGUGUGUACCACAGACGGGGAUGCAGACCAACAAGUACUGGGUGGGGUGUUAGAAAGGUUGGUGACACUCGCAGAUGUCAGAAGGCAACGUGUCACAGACCAGCCUGAGAAUGGGGACAAAUCAUGCCCACCCAAGAAAAAAAAGAAGACUGAUUUAUGAAUGCAUUUUAGAGCAGUAAAAGGAACUAAUACAGCGACAUGAUUCUCUGGUAGUGUUACAAAAUGUGUAAUGAGCUAUCCCAAGACUUGAGAAGCACUGUUAUGUAGGAGGGAAAAAUUUGACCUGCAGUUAUACCCCAGAAAAUCAUCAUUCACUAUUCCUGAAACAACACUGUUGAAGGAAGAUUAGAUCCUAAACUGCUU